AGCGAACGCUGGCGGCAGGCCUAACACAUGCAAGUCGAACGAAGUCUUCGGACUUAGUGGCGGACGGGUGAGUAACACGUGGGAACGUGCCUUUAGGUUCGGAAUAACUCAGGGAAACUUGUGCUAAUACCGAAUGUGCCCUCCGGGGGAAAGAUUUAUCGCCUUUAGAGCGGCCCGCGUCUGAUUAGCUAGUUGGUGAGGUAAAGGCUCACCAAGGCGACGAUCAGUAGCUGGUCUGAGAGGAUGAUCAGCCACAUUGGGACUGAGACACGGCCCAAACUCCUACGGGAGGCAGCAGUGGGGAAUCUUGCGCAAUGGGCGAAGGCCUGACGCAGCCAUGCCGCGUGAAUGAUGAAGGUCUUAGGAUUGUAAAAUUCUUUCACCGGGGACGAUAAUGACGGUACCCGGAGAAGAAGCCCCGGCUAACUUCGUGCCAGCCGCCGCAGUAA
rnacentral:rRNA from 1 species